UCUGGGUUACAGGCGUGAGCCAAUGUGCCAAGCCUGUUUUUCUUUUUUUUCUUGAUGGGGGUAUGAGGUCUCACUCGUUACCCAGGCUGGAGUGCAGUGGCGUGAUUAUAGCUUGCUGCAGCCUCGACCUCCAGGAAUCAACAGAUCCUCCCACCUCAGCCUCUUGAAUAUCUCUGACAACAGAUGCACUCCACCUCACCUGGCUAAUUUUUUGUAGAGAUGGGGUUUUGCGUUGUUACACAGACUGGUCCUGAACUCCUGAACUCAAAUAAUCUCCUUAUCUUGGCUUCCCAAAGUGCUGAGUUACAGGCAUGAGCCACUGUGUCCAGUCGUCCAGUCAUUUCUAUCUCCUUCCUUUCCUUUCCUUGACUUCUUGCCUUCUUUCUCCUCCUCCUCCAUCUUCUUCCUCUUUCUUUCCUUCCUUCCUUCUUUCUUUCUCUCUGUCUCUCUCUCUCUCUCUCUCUCUCUUUCUUUCUUUUUUCCUUCUUUCUUUCUGAUAAGGUCUCACUCUUUUACACAGGCUGGAGUGCAGUGGUGUAAUCACGGCUUGCUAAAAGCUCAACCUCCGGGGCUCAAGUGAUCCUUACAUAUCAGCCUCUAGAAUAGCUGGGACCACAGGUGCAUACCACCAUGCCUGGUUAAUUUUUUGGAUUUUUGGUAGAGAUGAGGUUUUGCCAUGUAGCCCAAUUUCGUCUUGAACUCCUGAACUCAAGUGAUCUGUCCACCUCAGCCUCCCAAAGUGCUCGGUUAGAGACAUGAGUCACUAUGCACAGCCUUUUUCUUUUCCUUUAUUUCUUUUUAAAAUUAUUUUGAAAUUAGGUCUUGUUCUGUAACCCAGGCUGUUGUGCAGUGGCAUGAUCAUGGCUUGCUGCAGCCUCAACUGCCUUAGCUCAAGUGAUCCUUCCACAUCAACUUUUUGAAUAGCUGAGACCACAGGUGCAUGCCACCACGCCUGGCUAGUUUUUUGUAUUUAUGGUAGAGAUGGGGUUUUCCCAUGUUGCCCAGUCUGGUGUCAAACUUCUGAACUCAGUUGAUCUGCCUACCUCAGUCUCCCAAAAUGCUGGACUACAGGUGUGAGACACUGUGCCCAGCACUUUAUUCUUUUUUCUUUUUUUCUUGUGAGAUUAGGUGUCGUGUCGCUCUGUUGCCCAGGCUGCAGUGGCGUGGUCAUGGCUGGCUGUAGUCUCAACCUCCUGGGCUCAAGUGAUCCUCCCACUGCAGCCUGUUGAAUAGCUGAGACCACAGGUGCCCACCACCAUGCCUGGCUAAGUUUUUGCAUUUUUAAUAGACAUGGUGUUUUGUAUCUGUAAUAGAGAUGGGGUUUUAAUAGAUGGUGGUUUUGUGAUUAGGUCUUGCUCUGUUGAUUAAGAAGUUUGAGUCUGUGCACAGUCUGGUCUCAAACUUCUGAACUUAAGUGAUACACCCACCUUUGUCUCCCAAGUGCUAUGUAUGGGUGUGAGCCACUGUGCCCAGCCCCUCUCCUUCUCCUUCUUCUUUUUAAAUUCGAUCUCAUUCUUUUACCCAGGCUGGAGUGCAGUGGCAGGAUAAGGACUUGUUGCAGCCUCAACCUCCUGGGCUCAAGUGAUUCUCCCAUCUCAGCCGCUGGAAUAGCUGAGACCCCAGAAUAGGUCUUGCUCUGUAGCCCAUGAUGUUGAGCAGCAGCCUCAAACUUCUGGUCUCAAGUGAUCGUCUUACCUCAGCCUCCUGAACAGCUAAACCACAGGCUCCACCGCAGUGAGGAUCCCAGGGCCAGAAGCCUCUGCGGCUCCUCACACAGACAGUCGGCCGAGCUGCUACAGGAAAGCAGAAACCGACCAAUUGACCUCGAGGAUCCAGCGGCUGCUCAGCACCCAGCGACCGCACCCCGUCGCUCUGUGCAUCGGCCAGCUUGCCCACUACACCAAAGAAGGCUUCCUGCACCUGGGCACCCUCUGGACCACCACACUCCUCCCUGACACCCACUGCCUGGUGGACAACUCUAAGAGUCAGCUGCCCCAGCUCCUGGACUGCAACAAGGUCAAGAGCAGCCUGUACAAGUGCUGGAACUUCAUCCAGAAUGGAGCCAUCAUGAACAAGGGCACAGGGUGCUGCCUGGAGGUGGAGAACCAGGGCCCGGCUGGCAUCGACCUCAUCCUUCGCAGCUGCACUGGUCAGAGGUGGACCAUUAAGAACUCCAUCAAGUAGAGAGAGGAAGCUGGGGCACUGGAGCCUGGCCCCCAGGACCAGCCGACAUCUGGACCAGCCAUCCUGGCGGAGAGACAGCAAGGGGUUGGCAGGUGCUCGGCAGGCUCCCCAGAGCUCCCCCAGGGCAGCACGGGGACCCUAGAUGGAUACUCUGUCCCCCUCAGGCAUUCAGCUGCCACAGGGUUCCUGCACCCUGGAAAAGCCCCCGGCCCUUCUCUGAGAGACUGAGAGGUGUCUUCUACAGUCUCUGAUGUGGACCUGGUACUGAGGAGUGAGACUGUCCAGUUCUCCACCACAUCUGCUAUCCCUGAAUCAGGACCUGGGACCCGUAGAGUCCACUCCUGCAUCUUUUCUCCUGCAGCAGCAGCUGCUCAACUCCAGCCAUCAACACGGUGGGAGGCAGCGGGGGCUUCAGCCAUGUCCUAGCUCCUCACCCUCAAAGGAGGCAGCAAGGACUGGGCACUCAGUUUCCUCUGAGGUUGCUUCUGCCCAGAUGACACCUGCCUGUUCACACCCCAAGGCAGUCACUGCCCUCAACUCUUCCCACCAGGAUGGCUUUGGGCACUGCAGCUCUGGACUCUUCUAGCCCCUCCUGAGAUGACCUGGGUGGAGCUGAUGCUUUCUCCCCUGGUCACCUGGGCACUAGGCUCGUACAACGUGCUUGGGCCAGCUCUCCUGCCUCUGCCUAGAGGAAGCUGGAGACAGAUACAGGCUAAGCCUGCAGCAUGGUCUAAGCCAUGAGGGCCCUGCAGGUUGGAGCUGGGUCAAGGACCUGUGAGCCCUGAGUCACGGAGGCUGUCCCCAGGGAGCAGAAGGAACCCUUCAUCCAGAACCUAAGGGCUCGAAGAUGCUUUCAGCUCACCUCAUUUCACCCCAUGCUCUGCUGGCUGGCAGAGGAGAAGGCAGUCGUUUCCUCUCUGAAGAGUAAUAAUUUUUUUUCGACUGCCCUCUGGUUAGGGUGCACAUAUAAAUCAGAGUUAAUAUAUGAACACGUGUGCAUGCAUGAGUGUGUGUGUGCCUGUGUGCUGUGCAUGGCAGAGAGUGUGCGUGCAUGUCUGGCUGUGUGUUCCGGAGCGUGUGACGAUGCUGACCUAGCUGUGUGGCUCUGGGCUUGCUGCUUCAUUGCUCACCUGGACAGGAAUGAGGGAGAUGAGAAGAAUGAAUGGGGUGUGGGUUUAGCCCAUGUCACUGGCCAGAAGCAUGUGGCUCAGCUCUGCCCUGUGGAGGCCCCCGCAGAAGGCUGCCCCAUCUCCCAGUCCCCAUCUCUUGCCCCAACGCUGUUGCUGGUCAAGCACCACCUAGAGCUGAAUCCUGUAGCUUCCCCCUUGCCUGUGUGGGAUUCACAGAGACUCAUUUGGUGACAUCUUAUGGGUGAUCAUCUUCCACCUUGUGAAAUAAAUACAUGCUAGCACUUCCCA